rnacentral:sRNA from 1 species
GCUAAAGUGGAUAAUGAGAUCCUUAAUUACAAAGACCUGGCGGCUCUCCCCAAGGUUAAGUCUAUCUACGAGGUACAACGCCCCGACCUCAUUUCCUAUGAGCCUCAUUCCAGAUACACGUCUGACGAGAUGCUGGAGAGAUGUGGCUAUGGAGAGUCGCUGGGAACAUUAUCUCCCUACUCCCAGGACAUCUACGAGAACCUGGACCUCCGGCAGAGACGGGCCUCCAGCCCAGGGUACAUAGACUCCCCCACCUACAGCCGGCAGGGCAUGUCCCCCACCUUCUCCCGCUCACCUCACCACUACUACCGCUCUGCCAGGAACAAAGUCAAGCUUGUUUCUGCCAACAUGGUGCAUGAGAGCACAUGCUGCUUCCGCCCCGGAGCCUGAGCACGCUGAGACGCCCCAGCCCAUCCCCCAUCUCUGCUGUCAUCACCUCACCACUUCCUUAACUGCCACCGCGUU